rnacentral:rRNA from 1 species
UACGUAUGUGGCAAGCGUUAUCCGGAUUUAUUGGGCGUAAAGGGAACGCAGGCGGUCUUUUAAGUCUGAUGUGAAAGCCUUCGGCUUAACCGGAGUAGUGCAUUGGAAACUGGGAGACUUGAGUGCAGAAGAGGAGAGUGGAACUCCAUGUGUAGCGGUGAAAUGCGUAGAUAUAUGGAAGAACACCAGUGGCGAAAGCGGCUCUCUGGUCUGUAACUGACGCUGAGGUUCGAAAGCGUGGGUAGCAAAUAGG